rnacentral:lncRNA from 1 species
AUGUCCACUGAGUUUGGCUCAGUGGUUGAAUGAACAAGUUACUUAGUUCUCCUGAAAUAUGAUUAAAACUGUUUUGUGUCAAAAUUACAACGCCUCUAACUUUAUAGUUUUCGUAAGCAUUUCUAAAUGUAAAAAUUAUGGUGCACUCCAAAUAUUUAUUUCGGGGAUACGAAUGAACAAGUUACAUGAAGAAAAUGGCAAAAAGAAUAAGCCAUUUGUUUUCCAGAGCUAAGAAGCCUUAAGCUGGAACUUGGGUGGGAGGAAGCAGCCACUUAGAAGCCUCGAUGAAUCCAAGAGUCAGAAAGGGUUUAACUUCUGCUUCAGUAAGCUUCUUGGUGAAUGCAGCCCGGCUAUUGUUUGUGUCUGAACCUGGUCCGGUGGAACUGAAUUCUCCGAACAAUACCGUCCUGCAAUACACCAUUGCCACCAUUAGACAAAUAUCCAAGAAAACAAAAACAAGAAAAGGAAUAACUAAUCAGUAACUCUCAGCCAACAAUAUAUAUAUACACACACACACACGCACAAGAGCUGUCUUGAUAAAUCUUGAAAAUCGAGUUCGCUGGCGUAUACAUUAAAUAUGAAUAAAACUUACUUCUCAGUCUCCGGAUGGAAGUUAUUAGACCAGCCUGCUGGGAUUACCGCGUCGCUCAUAUCCGUGUAGGCAAACACGACCUUGCCAUAAGGCAUCCAAGUUCUGCCCAAGUAAGCAGUGCGACCUGUGCCAGUGACUUUGCAGUGGACAAAUGAGUAUCCUGUAUCUUCAGCAUCGGUGUGCCUCGCCUGUGCGGUGAUCCAUGCCUGUUGGUCGCCUGGGAUAACAUGCAUCUCAACAUUCUGCAAUAUGAAUCACAUUCAAGAUUUCAUCCACAGCUUGUUCGCAUUCUUCAUGAAAAUGAUCAGAAAAGAAGUAAAAGAUGAUGAAUUGAUCUUCUAUUGUUACUAAUAUUUUACCAAGUAGAUGGAUUUUCCGUUGCCAAAAAUGAAAUCUACGGUGCCUUCGAUGUAGCAAUCCUUGAACAAGUGCUUUCCUUUGUCGUCGCAAAGGGUGUCUUGAAAACCAAGGAAUUUGCAGUUGUAAAAGGAAGCCUUAUCCCCUCCAAUUCUCACAGCCAAUGCCUGGGCACCCUUCACGUCGCCGUUUGGCCUUGGUGCUAAGUUCUUGAGCAAUUCGAAGCAACCCAAGAUGUGAUCGAUCAGAAACAAGACCUUCAAGGAAAAAGAAACAAGAACAAUGCGUGCUGGCUAUAUAUAUAGUUCGCUUACCGCAAGAAUGAGGUUAGCGGCGUUGAAGUAAUCAGAUUCAACAAUCAAGGUGGCACUUUCCACGGUUCCAUACUUGGCCGCUGUACCAUCAAACACUAGAGUAGGCAAAUUGUUUGGAUCUCCAAUUAUUGAGAUGAAUGGCUUGUUACGUUCAAUCUUGAUUUUCUCUGUAUAGUUUCCGGGGCCAAGUGAAAUGAUGAUGCGGUUGGUAUUGUCAUUUGGGAUGCUAUUGAUGGCAUCGGCUAUAGUCUUGAACUCACCGCUUCCGUCGCUCUUGAGCUUGAUGAUUCUGGGAUUGGCUUCUGCAGUGACUAGUGCCGGGUCCAAAGUGUCUUUCCGGGAUGCCAAAGGCUGCACAUUUUGCUCAAACCAGCUAUUCAAUUGAGCCUUAUCACCGGGGGCAGGUACAGUAUCAUCUGAAAGAACAACAGGAAUGAAGAGAAGGGUUGAAAAAAGGAUUGCUUUGUUCAGGGCCAUGUUACCCAUGUCGGUUUGUUUUUUACUUGCUAAUUAUGCUUUCUUGGAAGCCAGCAAUUGGCGAAGGUAAAUGGAGGAAACCAGGUUGUUCUUAUAGACUGCGACGUGAAACCAGAGACACAGAUGAACAUGCGCCAGAGAGAAGUCAUCGGGAAAGAUUGUGGUUGUGUUUUUUGUGGCUUAGAAUCAGUUUUUGUAAUGGCAAGAUGGCGCUUUUUAUGAAUUUGGAAAAAUGCCAACUGUAUUUUUUUUAGAAAAAAAUUAAUUUAGUUUCCCUUAUUUUUCCACGUAUACUAAUUCUUGCGGUGAGGGGUCAUCCAGCUGCUUUUCGCAGUGCUUUAGGUAGUUUGCCAGUAACAGUAUCUUUCUCAUUAUCCGAGAAAGUCUUAAUGCUAUGUGUUUGCAUUACAUAUCCUCAGCCCUUCUUUAGCAAUGCUCUAGAAUGAUUUAUACACAGAAAUCUAUUUCCUGCCUGGCCAGAUCAAAUGUCAGGAAAUUAGCCAUCUUCAAAUUUUUAACACUUAUCUCAACCUAGUUAAAAGUUGAUGACUAAUUAGUUGAUCAAUAUUGUGAAAAUCAAAUGUCUCUUGGUGACAGUGUUGACAUUAUUUAAUAUCUUAGAUAUUUCUUUAGUCUACUACAACUCUGGCGGGUAUAAAAAGCAAAUAAAUAUUAAGGUAUCAAACUGGAAAUUACUAAGUUUGGGCAAAUAUCUGACACUCUGCAAGCUAUGUCUGCCUUGAGAGUCUUUUCCGCUUCCAUUUCUGUUGGUCCUAACCUAUGUUGUUUUCCUUUUACCUUUGGUGUGAGCUUGUUUGUAAAUGGUAGUUGACAAGUAUCUUUAGAUUUUUGGAUUGUCUAUUUUCCUACUGUUUAUGGAAAGACAGUAGUGUUUCUUCAAACUAUUUGAAUAUUUAUUGACUUGUUUCUGAUUAGUUGGGAGGCUUUCUUCUUGUAUCUUUCAACGACUAAUCUAGGUCUCCAAUUGUUUUCGUUUGAGUGUCUAUGAGAUUAUUUCAAGAGAACUUAAUACUGCAUUAUCUUAGGUAGGUUACAAGUUCACUACCAAUAUAGAAAAUAACUUCGUUUUUAUGACCAUCAGUUGCUUGUAUCCGUCAAGAGGUUAAUAGUCGAGCUUGUGCUGCAUUUCUUUUUGGACCUUCAGCUGGUAUGGUAAACUUCGCUGCAUGUCUAAUGCAGUCUUAUGCAUAUUCACUAAUAAAGUUGUGCUACAUGUAGAUGGAUUGCACAUUAUGAUGAACAUGAAACUCUUGCAAGAGAAUGAAGAGGAAAAGCUGUCAAAAGAGGAACAAGAGACGACUUGGGAAGUAUUCAGGAGAACUUUUUUAUUGGAGAAAGUGCAACCAGUUUGACCUGAUGCAUCUACAAUUGAUCAGCAAGAGAAAGAAGAAUGAAUUACAAAUUUGCACAUGAGCAGCAGACAGUACCUCUUGAGGAAACUGCAUUUGAUGAAAAACCAGCACGCAGAAACACAGUUCCCUCUGCUCCUGAAAUCAAUCUUGAAGCCACACCUUCAUGCGCAAGAAACCGGAUGAUUACGAGAAAAUGUACUCCCAUCUGCUGACACUUCGAAGUCAGGGCACAAAAAUGGGUUGCAGCACCGCCUGUGGAGAAUGUGCACGGGAAAAUAGUUGGGAGGAGCGCAACAAGACAUCAGAAAAGUGAUGCCGAACACCACAUUUUUCUUAAUAUUAUAUGGCAUUUACUUAUUUCAGAUUUUCUGUGAAGGCCUAGGUGUACUGGAAUUUAUAGCGUAUGUCUGUCUCUGAAGGUAGUGGUUGUAAAUCAAUUCUUCUAGGUUUUGGCCCACAUGAAAUUGAAAAUAAUUAAAAAAUUUUAAUACAACAAAAUUUUAUUAUUUUAUAAGGUUAUGUGAAAGGUCAAAAUAUUUUUCAUAGUAUUUUAAAGUAUAUAAAUAAAAAAAAUUAAAUUAUACAUAUAAUAAUGUAUUAUGCAAGUAUAUUAUGAGUACUUAUUAACUAAAGUUCUAAGUUUUAAUCAUUAAUAAAAUACUUUAUUGUUAUUUCAAAUAAAUUUCCUAGUAUUGGUUUGAUAAAAGUUUUUUAAGCAAAAUAGUACAUUGGUGCCAUAAAUUAGUAAGUUUUGGUCAUUAAUCAAAUUUACUAUGUUAUAAGUAAAAAUUAUUAUUUAUGUAUAAAAACUUACUAUUACUUGAACUAAACUUAUUCUCUCAAAAGUAUGUUUGGGAUAUUAAAUAAUAAUUUAUCUCUUUAAAAAGUAAGUUUAAUAUUUAUUCCAAUUUACCUUUUGAGACACAAAAAUUACUAAUUAUUAUAGUUAACUUACUAUUUUAAAUGAGAAACUUACUUCCUUACUUUUAAGCAUUAUCCUCUUUAGGUAGAUAGGUCCAACGGGUAAUCGAAUGGUACCUAAAAAUAUAAUAAUCUGUUAUAUCAGAUAAAAACUGUUUAGUUACCCUAACGAUAGUUACUACAGUAUUUUCCUAUACUCACACCAAAUGGCAAAUUUAGUCCGAGAAAAUCAGCAAAUUUGACCUAUACUCGCACCAAAUGGCUGUUCAAAAGCAGAUAGCCGUGACACAUUCACACAGGCGCAAGGUAAUGUAGUCAUGGAAUCGUAAAUGCAUCAACAUUUUAUUUGUCACCUUUUAGUAGUAAGGGGGAAAUUCAACGAAUCUAUUAAAAAAAAAACAUAGAAUACAAAUCAACUUGGUAUACGCUUCAAAAAAAUUUUCAAUUUUGACAAAAGCAAGACACCUUCACACAAUGCACCUUCAUGUGCUUCACCAUGCAAGGUAGCACGUGUCACAACUGUCUGAUUAAUAUAUUAGCACGUGUCACCUUCAUGUGCUUCACCCUGCAAAUCACUUGCUUAAAUAUGCAGAUACCUCAACUCAUGAGUAUGCUUCGAUUAUCCCUGAUUGCAGGUUCUGGGGUCUGUUCUGCCGGAAGUCAUACUUAGACAUGUUUACUAAGAAAUAAAUCAGUGUGCUGAUAGAUUGACGAAAUUGGGUGCUCAACAAGAUAUGAAUUUUGUGUGUUAUGACAGUGUCCCUCAUGCUUUGAAAAAUCUAGUAGAUGCAGAUAUUAAGGGAAUUUGCUUCUCUCGUUGUGUACCUAUAAUUUAAGUUUUUUCAAUAUAUAAUACCUUUUAUUACCAAAAAAAAAUUUAUGCAAAAAAGUUAACUAAUGUUGGCAUAAAAUUACACGAGGCACACAUUUUCAAAUCUCCUGGGCUCUGUUUGGAUUAGCUAUUUUUGGAUGUGUUUUUUAAAAACUUUACUGUAACUGUGUAUACGAAAAACUUUUACUGUAAAUAUUUUUUGGAUUGUUUUUAGAGAUAUUUUUAAAAUAUAUUUUUGAGUAUUUUUAUAAUUUACAAUUUUUUUGGGAUUUUUUUAAAUAUAAACUGGCUCUGUUUCUAUAUAUUAAUAUUUAUUUAUCUAUAUAUAUAAUAUUUUUUAUUCAAUUUUGUUUUGUAAUAUGUAUAUUAAUAAAUAUUAAUAUGUAUCUUUCAAUUUGUAUAAUUGUAUAUAAAUAAAUAUAUUUAUAUAAAUAUAAAUAUAUUUUAAACAGAAUAUUAAUAGUUAUAUAUAAAUAUAUAAUAUUUAUUUCAAUUGAUAUAAUAUAUAUAAUAUACAUAUUAAUAUUACUAUAAUUUAUAUAUAAUAUAAUAUACAUAAUUGAAAUAUACAUAUUAAUAUAUAUUAAUGUACAUAUUAUAAAACAAAAUUGAAAUAAAUAUAUUUAUAACUUUAUAUAAAUAAAUAUAAAUGUAUAUAUAAAUAUAUUUAUUUAUUUCAAUUGAUAUAAUAUAUAUAAUAUACAUAUUAAUAUUACUAUAAUUUAAAUAUAUAAUAUAAUAUACAUAAUUGAAAUAUACAAAUUGAAAGAUACAUAUUAAUAUACAUAUUAUAAAAAAAAAUUGAAAUAAAAAAUAUUAUAUAUAUGAAUAAAUAAAUAUUAAUAUAUAUAAUAUAAAACAAAAUUGAAAUCGAAAAAUCUGAUUUCUAUUUCCGAUUUCAAAAACUCCAUUACCGAAUUCGAACCAAAUUCGCAUAAUUUGAAAUCGAAAAUUCCGAAUUUUUUUGUAUAUUUGGAAUUGUUUUUGAUAUAUUGUUUGGAUAUGGUGUUUUUGAAAUUGUUUUUGUUUGUAUAUUACUGUAGUAUUGUAGAUGAAAAAAUUAUUUUUCAAAAAAUGCUGAAUCCAAACGGAGCCCUGUAAAUUCCAAGGAGAAGAAAAAACUGAGCUUACCGUCAGAAAAGGAAAAGCACGGCCUUUCAUUCUCUGUUUUUCAUUUUCUACCUAAUUGGAGGAAAGCGGAGGGACUAGAAAAGAGUAAAUACAGGCCUGCCAUAUGUAUUUAAAAAUUCAACCGGCACAACAAAAGCAAAUAACAAAGCAAGUACUAAUUUGUUGUACCACACUUUCUAAUUGAUGGAAGUAUUAUAAGUAAUUGUUUGUGAAGCUGUUAAGUGUUAACUAUUACAAGUUACUGUUUGUUAAAACUGUGGUGUGUUUGGUUGAUGCAAGGGACUACAGCAUUGACCUUGUAUACAUUUUACUGAGCAAACCAACAUUUGUUACAACAAUUUGCACUAGAAGUAUCACUCCCAGUAAAAACUCCAAAUUGGACAUUCUCUCUCUUAUUUUUUUGUGUUUCCUUGUUUGUGUUUGUGUUUUCUGUUUCAGACUUUCAGUGAUAAGUUGCUUAUUGAUGUACACUAAUCCUAUGACAGUGCAGAUUAAUUUUCAAUAACGUCUUCUUUUUUUUUUAUAACAAAAGAACCCAUAACCGUUAUCCGAGAAUAUAAACCCCUUUAAAAACGUCUUUACCUAGUGAUUGUGAGAGUAACACGAAAAAGAUUUUCCUUCCAUCACCAAAAAGAAAAGAAAAAAAAAGAAAAGAGUAAUAGUAGGAUCACACACACGUUAAAAGCUACAUACACAUAUAAAAAUUCAUAGUGUACUUCAUAUUGAGUAUUUAUAAGACAGGGAUUACAUUCCUCUGCAUUACCUCUUCCCUCCAAUUUCUCCGAGGGAGGGAUGAGUAUAUCUAAAAUUCAAGAAUAAAGAAAGAGAAUUAAGUUAAAUUUUUUUUUUUAAAGACGGCAACUAUUGUAUAACCUAUCUAUUCUAAACUACAGGGAGGGAGAGCCUAAAGAGGCUGUGUUUGAGACUAACAACAUACAGACAUUACUAGACCAAGAGAGUGUUUUGGCAUAACCCUCGGGGAACUGAACCUCCACCUACAAUCCAAGAAAGGACUUAAGACCCUCUUUGAUGUCCACUGAGCUUGACUCAGUGGUUGAAUGAACAAAUUACUUAGUUCUCCUGAAAUAUGAUUAAAACUGGUUUGUGUCAAGCUCAGUGGUUGAAUGAACAAGUUAUUUAGUUCUCCUGAAAUAUGAUUAAAACUGGUUUGUGUCAAAAUUACAACGCCUCUAACUUUAUAGUUUUCGUAAGCAUUUCUAAAUGUAAAAAUUAUGGUGCGCUCCAAAUAUUUAUUUCGGGAAUACGGAUGAACAGGUUACAUGAAGAAAAUGGCAAAAAGAAUAAGCCAUUUGUUUUCCAGAGCUAAGAAGCCUUAAGCUGGAACUUGGGUGGGAGGAAGCAGCCACUUAGAAGCCUCGAUGAAUCCAAGAGUCAGAAAGGGUUUAACUUCUGCU